CCCUUAGAUGUUCUGGGCUGCACGCGCGCUACACUGAAGCGUUCAACGAGUAUUUCACCUUGCCCGGGAGGGUUGGGUAAUCUUUUUAAAACGCUUCGUGAUGGGGAUAGAUUAUUGCAAUUAUUAAUCUUCAACGAGGAAUGCCUAGUAAGCGCAAGUCAUCAGCUUGCGUUGAUUACGUCCCUGCCCUUUGUACACACCGCCCGUCGCUCCUACCGAUUGAAUGGUCCGGUGAAGCGUUCGGACCGUGGCCUUUGGACGGUUCGCCGUCUGUUGGCUGCGGGAAGUUCGUUAAACCUUAUCAUUUAGAGGAAGGAGANGUCGUNACA
rnacentral:rRNA from 1 species